GGGCUAGAGGUGGGGCUAGAGAUGGGCUAGAGAGCUGGGGCUAGAGCUGUGGCUAGAUGUGGGGCUAGAGCUGUGGCUCAAUGUGGGGCUAGAACUGGGGCUAGAGCUGGGGCUAGAGAUGGGGCUAGAGGUGGGGGUACAGAUGGGCUAGAGGUGGGGCUAGAUAUGGGGCUAGAGAUGGGGGAUAGAGAUGGGGCAAGAGGUGGGGCUAGAACUGUGGCUAGAUGUGGGGCUAGAACUAGGGCUAGAGAUGGGGCUAGAGAUGGGCUAGAGCUGGGGCUAGAGCUGGGGCUAGAGGUGGGGCUACAGAUGGGCUAGAGGUGGGGCUAGAGAUGGGGCUAGAGAUGGGGCUAGAGAUUGGGCUAGAGGUGGGCCUAGAGAUGGGGCUAGAGAUGGGGGCUAGAGAUGGGGCAAGAGGUGGGGCUAGAAGUGGGGCUAGAGAUGUGGCUAGAGGUGGGGCAACAGAUGGGCUAGAGGUGGGGCUAGACAUGUGGCUAGAGGUGGGGCUACAGAUGGGCUACAGGUUGGGCUAGAUAUGGUGCUGUAUAUGGGGCUUAAACUGGGGCUAGAGGUUGGGCUAGAGAUGGGCUAGAGGGGGGACUAGAGGUGGGGCUAGUAGUGGGCUAGAGGUCGGGAUAGAUAUGGUGCUGGAUAUGGGGCUUAAGCUGGGGCUAGAGGUGGGGGCUAGAGAUGGGCUAGAGGUGGGAUAGAGGUGGGGCUGGAGAUAGAGAUGGGGCUAGAGAUGGAACUAGAGGUGGGGCUAUAGAUGGGCUAGAGCUGGGGCUAGAGCUGUGGCUAGAUGUGGGGCUAGAACUGUGGCUAGAUGUGGGGCUAGAACUAGGGCUAGAGCUGGGGCUAGAGAUGGGCUAGAGCUGGGGCUAGAGGUGGGGCUACAGAUGGGCUAGAGGUGGGGCUAGAGAUGGGGCUAGAGGUGAGCCUAGAGGUGGGCCUAGAGGUGGGCCUAGAGAUGGGGCUAGAGAUGGGGGCUAGAGAUGGGGCUAGAGGUGGGGCAAGAUGUGGGGCUAGAGCUGUGGCUAGAGGUGGGGCUAGAGGUGGGGCUAGAGGUGAUACCCUCUUUUCUUCCCUCUCUCCCAUCUGCUCCCCUUCUGUCUACCUCUCUCUGUGUAGUUUGUCCCUCUCUUCUCUGACCUCUCUACCACAUCCAGCAGGGCUACUGGGACAAAACAGAGUAACCAUGGUCACCUAAUCCCCUC
ensembl:lncRNA